GAGGGUCCGUUUCUCUUCUGUGUGGAGCGCAUGUGACUGGGUUGGAGUUGGCUGGUGUUUACAGCUCGGAAAUGUUAUACACGACUGAUCUAAUCUGGCCUGGAGGCACAGACUGCUGGAACAAGGAGGCAGUGUGCAGGCAGUCGCUUGGGUUUCCUUGUCUAGGAGCUCCACAAGUCCAGGCCUCCAGCACAGCGUUCUCUAACUGCAGGGACCAAGUGUCUCACUCAAAGUGACAGGACUUACAUGCUGUCAGUCUGUGAAAUGACCAGACCAACUUGACCAGGGACUCUGGUUCAGUGGACCAUUUUAAAUCUAGUCUUCCUAUUUCUGCGGAUAUCCUAGACUGUAGCCCGGGGCUCUUCCACCUUUUCCCACUCCCAUCUGUCGCCCCCCAGGCACUGAUUGGCUGUGCAAGGAGUAAAGGUAUUUGCUUCCCAGGGUCAAAGCCACAGAGGUGGGGCUGAGGUUAAACAAGCAGGCAGGGAUCCUUUACAAAGACAACUGCUCUCUCUGUUCUCCCUGAUCUGCUAGAGGACCAGUGGUCAGGUACACAAUGGUGUACAGGCAGGACCAGGGUAAAACCAAGCUUACUUUUUUUUCAGGAAACUUAAGGAAUAAAUGUGGGUCUAUUUUAAUGAUCUAAGCCAUGGUGGAUCUUAAUAGCACUCACCUUUUCAUUUUAUGCUAUUUUAUUUGUAUGCAGUAGUACCCUGGCUAGGUUAAUAUAGAAUUAAAGCACAAUACAAGGGAGUCAAUUAUCCGAUCUUUGAUCAAACUACUAUCUAAUCAACCGAAUCUAAUCUUGUGAUGAAUUAGGUGUGGUAUAUUACGCACACAACUUCUGCUGCUAAAACGACUACGAUAUUUAGCUGCCAAAAAAAAGGACCAGCAGACUGAGGUAAAUGAAAGUUACAGAAUUAUUCAGACCACCAAAACCUUAGAUGAAGCAUUGUGUGCUUUAAGUUAAGCAAAUUAAAACAGCCAUCAAGUUCUUGAUUUUUCUUCUAUUUCAUCAGCAAGGGCUGGAGAUCCUGUCUGUGUUAUUGAGCAGCCAAGACCUUUCAUUUCAAUUGCACGUUAUUACAAUACCUUAAC